UACGUAGGGUGCGAGCGUUAAUCGGAAUUACUGGGCGUAAAGCGUGCGCAGGCGGUUCGUUAAGUUCGAUGUGAAAGCCCCGGGCUCAACCUGGGAACUGCAUUGGAAACUGGCGAGCUUGAAUGCGGCAGAGGGGGGUGGAAUUCCGCGUGUAGCAGUGAAAUGCGUAGAGAUCGGGAGGAACACCCGUGGCGAAGGCGGCCAACUGGGAUACACCUGACGCUGAGGCACGAAGGCGUGGGGAGCGAACGGG
rnacentral:rRNA from 1 species